UUGAUUAGGUUUCUUGAAAGAGAGAGAUCAAGAAUUUUCAAAUAUGUUUCAUUGAUGACCCAUCCAGAGAGGUUGCCUGCCUUUUCCAGAGCGUUUCUCCAUGAUUCAACUUUCUGCUUAUUUUUCCUCUCUUGUUUGGAAAAAGCCUUUCCAUAUUUCCCCUUUUGUUUUCUCACAUCCGAUGGAUCCACGUGAUAAAAUACGGGCAUCACAAAUUGCCCUCUGGUGUCCAUGCACUCCAUAAUAUGUUCAAGCUCGUCCAAGCACCAAGACGAGUCUGCAUAGUUUUCGGAGAAUACAACAAGGGCGAUGCGUGAUUCUUGGAUAGCUUUC
rnacentral:lncRNA from 1 species